GACGUAGGUGGCGAACGUUAUCCGGAAUUAUUGGGCGUAAAGGGUGCGUAGAUGGCUUAGUAAGUUGGUGGUGGGAAAUCGAGGCUCAACCUCGUGGAAGCCGGCAAUACUACUAAGCCUGAGUACAGGAGAGGUUAAUGGAACUCCAUGUGGAGCGGUAAAAUGCACAGAUAUAUGGAAGAACACCAAUAAAGGCGAAGGCAAUUAACUAUUCUGUUACUGAUAUUGAGGCACGAAAGCGUGGGGAGCAAAACGG
rnacentral:rRNA from 1 species